CCCUUAGAUGUCCUGGGCCGCACGCGCGCUACACUGAGUGUCUGAGAUACGAAUCUGCCUGGUCCGGCAAGGUCUAGGUAAUCGCUAAAAGACACAUCAUGCUUGGGAUAGAUUAUUGCAAAUAUUAAUCUUGAACGAGGAAUUCCUAGUAAGCGCAAGUCAACAGCUUGCGUUGAUUACGUCCCUGCCCUUUGUACACACCGCCCGUCGCUACUACUGAUUGGAUGUUUAAGCGAGGUUCUCGAACUGCUAGCGACUUAGCUUCGGUGAGGUCGCAGUGUGGGAAGUGAACCUAGCUUUGGUGUCUAGAGGAAGUAAAAGUCGUAACA
rnacentral:rRNA from 1 species